rnacentral:rRNA from 1 species
GCCCAGCUUGCUGGGUGGAUUAGUGGCGAACGGGUGAGUAACACGUGAGUAACCUGCCCCUGACUCUGGGAUAAGCGUUGGAAACGACGUCUAAUACUGGAUAUGAUCACUGGCCGCAUGGUCUGGUGGUGGAAAGAUUUUUUGGUUGGGGAUGGACUCGCGGCCUAUCAGCUUGUUGGUGAGGUAAUGGCUCACCAAGGCGACGACGGGUAGCCGGCCUGAGAGGGUGACCGGCCACACUGGGACUGAGACACGGCCCAGACUCCUACGGGAGGCAGCAGUGGGGAAUAUUGCACAAUGGGCGAAAGCCUGAUGCAGCAACGCCGCGUGAGGGAUGACGGCCUUCGGGUUGUAAACCUCUUUUAGUAGGGAAGAAGCGAGAGUGACGGUACCUGCAGAAAAAGCACCGGCUAACUACGUGCCAGCAGCCGCGGUAAUACGUAGGGUGCAAGCGUUGUCCGGNAAUUAUUGGGCGUAAAGAGCUCGUAGGCGGUUUGUCGCGUCUGCUGUGAAAUCCCGAGGCUCAACCUCGGGCUUGCAGUGGGUACGGGCAGACUAGAGUGCGGUAGGGGAGAUUGGAAUUCCUGGUGUAGCGGUGGAAUGCGCAGAUAUCAGGAGGAACACCGAUGGCGAAGGCAGAUCUCUGGGCCGUAACUGACGCUGAGGAGCGAAAGCGUGGGGAGCGAACAGGAUUAGAUACCCUGGUAGUCCACGCCGUAAACGUUGGGCGCUAGAUGUAGGGACCUUUCCACGGUUUCUGUGUCGUAGCUAACGCAUUAAGCGCCCCGCCUGGGGAGUACGGCCGCAAGGCUAAAACUCAAAGGAAUUGACGGGGGCCCGCACAAGCGGCGGAGCAUGCGGAUUAAUUCGAUGCAACGCGAAGAACCUUACCAAGGCUUGACAUACACCGGAAACGGCCAGAGAUGGUCGCCCCCUUGUGGUCGGUGUACANGGUGGUGCAUGGUUGUCGUCAGCUCGUGUCGUGAGAUGUUGGGUUAAGUCCCGCAACGAGCGCAACCCUCGUUCUAUGUUGCCAGCGCGUUAUGGCGGGGACUCAUAGGAGACUGCCGGGGUCAACUCGGAGGAAGGUGGGGAUGACGUCAAAUCAUCAUGCCCCUUAUGUCUUGGGCUUCACGCAUGCUACAAUGGCCGGUACAAAGGGCUGCGAUACCGUAAGGUGGAGCGAAUCCCAAAAAGCCGGUCUCAGUUCGGAUUGAGGUCUGCAACUCGACCUCAUGAAGUCGGAGUCGCUAGUAAUCGCAGAUCAGCAACGCUGCGGUGAAUACGUUCCCGGGCCUUG